rfam:Schistosoma mansoni strain Puerto Rico chromosome 4, complete genome
AUCCAGCUGACAAGUCCCGAAUAGGACGAAACGCGCGUCAAACUGGAU